rnacentral:rRNA from 1 species
GGUGAACGCUGGCGGCGUGCCUAACACAUGCAAGUCGAGCGGUGCAGUUUGAAGCUUCGGUGGAAAGCUGCAUAGGCGGCGGACGGGUGAAGGAAAACGUAGGAACGUGCCCCUUGGAGUUGGAUAGCCACGGGAAACUGUGGGUAAACCGACAUAGACUCGAGAGAGUAAAGGCCGAAAGGCGCCAAGGGAGCGGCCUGCGGCCCAUCAGGUAGUUGGUAGUGUAAAGGACUACCAAGCCGACGACGGGUAGCCGGUCUGAGAGGAUGGCCGGCCACAAGGGCACUGAGAGACGGGCCCUACUCCUACGGGAGGCAGCAGUGGGGGAUUUUGGACAAUGGGCGAAAGCCUGAUCCAGCGACGCCGCGUGGAGGACGAAGCCCUUCGGGGUGUAAACUCCUUUUCUCAGGGAAAAAGGAUGAUGGUACCUGAGGAAUAAGCCCCGGCUAACUACGUG